rnacentral:rRNA from 1 species
AUUGAACGCUGGCGGCAGGCCUAACACAUGCAAGUCGAGCGGAGCGGCGGACGGGUGCGUAAUGCCUAGGAAUCUGCCUGGUAGUGGGGGAUAACGUCCGGAAACGGGCGCUAAUACCGCAUACUAUCAGAUGAGGCUAGGUCGGAUUAGCUAGUUGGUGGGGUAAAGGCCUAACAAGGCAACGAUCCGUAACUGGUCUGAGAGGAUGAUCAGCCACACUGGGACUGAGACACGGUCCAGACUCCUACGGGAGGCAGCAGUGGGGAAUAUUGGACAAUGGGCGAAAGCCUGAUCCAGCCAUGCCGCGUGUAUGAUGAAGGCCUUCGGGUUGUAAAGUACUUUCAGCGGGGAGGCGUUACCCGCAGAAUAAGCACCGGCUAACUCCGUGCCAGCAGCCGCGGUAAUUC